CUUCUCCCUAUUUUCCUUUUCUCUUCUCUGUGAGCUCACGAAGAAACAGCACCCCAACACAUCGCCAUGGCGCCGCCUCUGCAGACCAUCCCCCGCCGUUCCGAGGGCACCGGCGGAUGCGCCUCGUCGUCCUCUCCAUCCUCCCCAAAGGAAUCAAGCCGGGAGAGCUCCAAUCGCUGGCAAAUUCGCCGUUACCGUCUCCAACUCCGGCGAGUUCAUCGUUGAUUCCGGCGGCCGUGAAGCGUCCCCGGCCUCCUCGUCCGCGCCAUGAGCAUCAGGGGAUCCAUCUCCGGCGAGCUAUGGUGGUUCCCCGACACCAAGGCUGCCACUUCUGGACUCCCCAUGUUCUUCCGCACCGAACGCGACAUCCUACUCGUCCCGGUUCUCCCCUUCCUUGACAGAUCGGAGCUCGACUGCGUUGUUUCCGGCCUCCAUGGUCGCAGCUUCAAGUCCGGCAUGUGGUACAUCAAGUCGUACUGCGACCGCUACUGUUCAACGAUCAGCAUCUAGCCCAGUGAUCCGCAGAUGGGCCUCGCCCUGUUUCCUCUCGAUGCAGCCCAGCGUGCCAGGCCACCGUGGCGGAUCAGAUCCAGCCCACGGCGCGGCAGGUAGCAGCCCAAUACUCCUAGAAUCCUCUCCUCCCUUUUA